rnacentral:rRNA from 1 species
AUUGAACGCUGGCGGCAGGCCUAACACAUGCAAGUCGAGCGGAGCGGCGGACGGGUGAGUAAUGCCUAGGAAUCUGCCUGGUAGUGGGGGAUAACGUCCGGAAACGGGAGCUAAUACCGCAUACUAUCAGAUGAGACUAGGUCGGAUUAGCGAGUUGGGGGGGUAAAGGCCUACCAAGGCGACGAUCCGUAACUGGUCUGAGAGGAUGAUCAGUCACCUUGGAACUGCGACACGGUCCAGACUCCUACGGGAGGCAGCAGUGGGGAAUAUUGGACACUGGGCGCAAGCCUGAUGCAGCCCUGCCGCGUGUGUGAAGAAGGCCUUCGGGUUGUAAAGCACUUUCAGCGGGGAGGCGUUACCCGCAGAAGAAGCACCGGCUAACUCCGUGCCAGCCGCCGCGGUAAUUC